CCUGGUGCCAAUGGCGGAGUGGCCCCACUCUCAUCCAUCCCGAACUGAGGUGUGAAACGCUCCUGCGGCCAAGAUACUCUGGGGGUUGCCCCACGGGAAAAUAGCUCGGUGCCAGGG
rnacentral:rRNA from 1 species